GACAUAGAGACACUGCAUAUUUUACCAAGGCUUUGACUGGAAUGGCAUGCUUUCAAAUAUAAACAGACGGCUUUAAGGAAUCAGAGUUGACCUAUAGUGCCCAUCAAAGCCCUUGGGAAAACUGGCUUCAUACUGUAUCCACCCAGUGGAUUCUUCUUGCCCAGAUGGAGCCCAUGUAUCAAGAACUUGACAGCAUGGACAUUGCCACUUGCUUCCUUCAGUCUCCUGGAGUCCCCAUGUCCUGAACACAGAGGAGGCACCCAAAUGCUUGCUGAAGCCACAUCCCUGGACCAAGUGACCUGACCCUCACCUGGAGGACCUUCACCUUCACCUCUCACCUGGAGGACCCUCUCACCUGGAAGACUCUCUCACCUGGAGGACCACCCCACCUGAAGGACUCCCAACUGGAGGACCCUCUUACCUGGGGGACCCCCUCCGCUGGAGGACCCUCUCACCUGGAGGACCCUCUUACCUGGAGGGCCCUUCACCUGGGGGACUCCCCCACCUAGAGGAUCCUCUUACCUGGAGGUCCCCUCACCUGGGGAACCCCCCCCCCACCUAGAGGAUCCUCUUACCUGGAGGGCCC
rnacentral:lncRNA from 1 species